AAGCCGGCAGUUAGGCGCGCGCUGGUUUUUCAAGCCUCCGGAGGGCUUUGGAAGCCGGCAGCCAGGGAGGCCCCCUCGCGCUGGCUUCCAAAGUCCUCCGGAGGGCUUUGGAAGCUGGCAGGACAACCAGAACAUAUGACUCCCUGAGAAUGCCAUGGAAGAGAAGAAGAACUACGUACAUGGCCUGUAACUCGAGGCAGUUGAUAGUGCAGGACUGCUCUGUUGGACCCUGCAUUUCUUGAUCUGAAAGACCCUUGGGAUGAAAAUUUCCAAAGGAAAUCAACUAAAGAAUUCCCUGCAGUGUCAAAAAGGCCAUGGGGGCUAUGAUCAGCUUGAUGAAGACUCUGAUGACUAAAGCCAACCUGCAAGCCAGAGCUUGAAUUCGUAGACCAAACCUCAACUCCCAGAAUCCUCAAGUCGAUAUGACCUGCUACCUAACAGAAGAAAGAACCAAGUUCUCUUUUAUUAAACAAGCAAUACAUCACAAGUACAUUCCUUUUUUCCCAUUUCUUUCUGUACAAGCCCAUAGUAACUACGUAACUGUAUUUUCCCAAAAGGAUAGAAUAUGUCUCACACAUAGUUAAGUAUUUUUUCUUCUUUUUUAAAAAGUACUAGCCCAUAGAGAAGGGAAAUAAAUUCAGUAAAGCCAUAAAAUUUUGCUCUGAGGUAAUUAUAAUUUCCAGUGGAAAUUUAAGCAAAUCUUUCUACUAGAUCUGCCACCUGAUAAAUCUGAAGGAUGAAAAACUGAGAACAUAUAAUAGCUUGUUAUAAAUAUGUCAAAUGUUCUGUUUCUGCAAUGAAUUGCCUAAUAAAAACAGUUCCACUAAUGUCAGUGCUGAGAACCACUAGGUAGUUCACUGAACUGUGAACAUCUUUCCCACAGCUGUCUAUCAAGUAUAUGUUGCUAGUAACUCAAACAACAAGGUAAAGUAUAAAACUGUAGUAGUUUGAUACCAGCUGUUUUCUCUUAAAUGAGAAUUCACUUUCCCUCAGUACUACCUGGUUGAUUUACUUCAGUUUAAGCCUAGUAUAUGUAUGAGGUCAACUGAAUAAAAUCCUUCUCUGAAAUAACUUGCAUGUCAACACAAAUUUUUGUCAUGCAUGGAAACAAAUGUUCCCUGAUGUCUCAAAAGCAAUGUCAUGGGCACAGCUCUAAGCAACUGUGAUUCACUAAUGACUUUCUACCUG